CGCGGGCCUGGAGACCCAGAGUUAGACGGGCGACUUCCUUCUCGAGCCAGGAAAACGAGUUGAACGUGUCGACACCUCCACCCGCCAGAGUCAGCGGCGCGGGCGUGUUCGAGUCGGCUGCUCGUGUCCUCGGUUUCUUGCCUCCGCACCUGGGUGGCUUGCCGCCCACAGGACCCCAGCCCGCAAGGCCCACGGAGCUGCGGCCUCGUCCCGAGUGUUCUGAGUGCAGUCCGAGCAGCUCCCGCGUCCACUCUGCUGCCGACACCCGAGCGCCGCCCGGAAUCCUGGCACUGAGGGGCGCAGGCCAAGUUCCACACCAGCCUGGGAAACGCAAAGCGACCCCACCUCCACAAAAAGAUCGGGUUUCAACGUGUUGGCCAGGCUGGUCUCAAACUCCUGACCUGAAAUGAUCUGCCUGCCUCGGCUUCCCAAAGUGCUGGGAUGACACUGAGCCACCGCGCCUGGCAAGGAGGUAACUUGAUCCAUAUGUUUGCGUUUACAUGGUGUGAGGAAAGGGCACCCUAGGUAGAUGGAACAGCGUGUACAAAGGCCUGGAGGUUUAAAAUCACCACUCUUCUAGCCCUCAUACUAACUUUGCCUAUUUUGAACUUUAUAUAAAUGGAAUUAUAUUGCAUGUUCUCUUUUGUAUCUGACGUCCUUUUCUCAAUACUGUAUCAGUGGUGUCCAUGCCAUUUAAAGUAAUGGUCGAUUAACUCAAUGCUACGUCGCCUUCUAAUUGAUGGAGGGCAGGUAAGACUCACAGUGGGGCUGAGCCCCUUGAGGGUUCCUGGCUUUGCCCAGGAAACAAUUCAAGGGCAAGCUGGAAGUGAAAGUAAACAGGCCAGGCAUGGUGGGAGUUACUGCCCCUUUCCAUGGCAAUAACCCCACGACCCAAAGUUACUACCCCGUCCCUAGAAACUUUUGCCUGAGCUUCACCUUAAUCUGCAUGAAAUUAAAAGUGGGUAUAAAUGUGGCUGCAGAACUGCCCUGAGCUGCUGAUCUCAGGACACUGCCUAUGGGCCUGCAGGGGCUGUCACGGAGCUGUAACCCUGUCGCUUCAAGUUGUUUUGUUUUUCUUUUGAGACAGUCUCGCUCUGCUCUUCCAGUUUGAAUAUCACGCAGGCUGGAGUGCAGUGGCGCAAUCUCGGCUCACUGCAACCUCCGCCUCCCGGGUUCAAGCAAUUCUGCCCCAGCCACCCGAGUAGCUGGGAUUACAGGCACGCACCACCACGCCUGGCUAAUUUUUGUAUAUGUAUUAGAGACAGGGUUUCACCAUGUUGGCGAGGCUGGUCUCGAACUCCUGGCCUCAAGUGAUCUGCCUGCCGCCCGCCUCGUUGUCCCAAGGUGCUGGGAUUACAGGUGUGAGCCACCGCACCCAGCAAAAGUGCUUUCUUGAGAUGGAAUCUGCUCCUGGUGAAGAUGCUCUAAACAUUGCUGAGAUAACAGGAUUUAGAAUGUUCUAUAAACUUCGUUGGUACAGCAGCGAUAGGGUUCAAGAGGAUUUUCCAGUUGUGAAAGGUCUGCUGUGGACAAAAUGCUACCACACAGCAUCGCGUGCUAUGGAGAAAUCUUUUGUGAAAGGAAGAGGCUUAAUGUGGCCAGCUUUAUUGUUGUCUUAUUUUAAGAAAUUGCCGGCCGGGCGUGGUGGAGAAUCACUUGAACCCAGGAGGCAGAGGUUGCAGUGAGCCAUGAUCACACCAUUGAACUCCAGCCUGGGCAUAAGAGCAAAACUCCAUCUCAAAAAAAAAGAAAGAAAUUGCCACAGCCACCCCAGCCUUCAGCCACCACCACCCUGAUCAGUCAGCAGCCACAAACAAGACCUUCUACCAGCAAAGAGAUCCCAACUUCCUCAAGCCUCAGAUGAUUGUUGGCACUUUCUAUCAGUAUCUUAGUUUUUUCUUUGUUUGUUUUUUAAUUUUUGAGAUAGAUUCUCAUUCUCUUGCCCAGGCUGGAAUGCAGUGGCACCCUCUUGGCUCACUGCAACCUCCACCUCCCAGGUUCAAGCGAUUCUCUUACCUCAGCCUCCCAAGGAGCUGGGACUACAAGCACACACCACCACACCCGGCUGAUUUUUUUUCCAUUUUUAGUAGAGACGGGGUUUCACCAUGUUGACCAGGCUGGUCUCGAACUCCUGGCCUCAGGUGAUCUGCCCACCUUGGCCUCCCAAAGUGCUGGGAUUACAGGUGUGAGCCACUGCGCCCGGCCAUUUUAUUUUUGAGGCAAGUUCUUGCUUUGUUGCCCAGACUAGAGUGCAGUGACAUGAUCUCGGCUCAUGGCAACCUUUGCCUCCCAGGCUGAAGCAAUCCUCCCACCUCUGCCUCCCUAGUAGCUGGGACCACAGGUGCGCACCCCCACACCCGGCUAAUUUUUUUGUAUUUUUGGUAGAGACAGGGUUUCACCAUGUUGCCCAGGCUGGUCUCCUGAGCUCAUGCAAUCUGCCCACUUGACCUCCCAAAGUGCUGGGAUUACAGGUGACAGCCACUGUGCCCAGCCUAUUAUUAUUAUUAUUAUUUAUUUAUUUUUUGGUCUUGAGGGAGGGUAGGGUGGUGGGAGCCCAGUUGCGGAGGGAGUGAGGAGUGGUCAAUAAAGUAUUUUAAAUUGA